rnacentral:rRNA from 1 species
AGAGUUUGAUCAUGGCUCAGGACGAACGCUGGCGGCGUGCCUAAUACAUGCAAGUCGAGCGAAUCGAUGGGAGCUUUCUCCCUGAGAUUAGCGGCGGACGGGUGAGUAACACGUGGGCAACCUGCCUAUAAGACUGGGAUAACUUCGGGAAACCGGAGCUAAUACCGGAUACGUUCUUUUCUCGCAUGAGAGAAGAUGGAAAGACGGUUUACGCUGCCACUUAUAGAUGGGCCCGCGGCGCAUUAGCUAGUUGGUGAGGUAAUGGCUCACCAAGGCGACGAUGCGUAGCCGACCUGAGAGGGUGAUCGGCCACACUGGGACUGAGACACGGCCCAGACUCCUACGGGAGGCAGCAGUAGGGAAUCUUCCGCAAUGGACGAAAGUCUGACGGAGCAACGCCGCGUGAACGAAGAAGGCCUUCGGGUCGUAAAGUUCUGUUGUUAGGGAAGAACAAGUACCAGAGUAACUGCUGGUACCUUGACGGUACCUAACCAGAAAGCCACGGCUAACUACGUGCCAGCAGCCGCGGUAAUACGUAGGUGGCAAGCGUUGUCCGGAAUUAUUGGGCGUAAAGCGCGCGCAGGUGGUUCCUUAAGUCUGAUGUGAAAGCCCACGGCUCAACCGUGGAGGGUCAUUGGAAACUGG